rnacentral:rRNA from 1 species
UGGGAUUCUUCCGCAAUGGGCGAAAGCCUGACGGAGCAACGNCGCGUGUGGGAUGACGCCUUUCGGGGUGUAAACCACUUUUCUCAGGGAAGAAGCACUAACGGUACCUGAGGAAUAAGGACCGGCUAACUACGUGCCAGCAGCCGCGGUAAUACGUAGGGUCCGAGCGUUGUCCGGAGUUACUGGGCGUAAAGCGCGCGCAGGCGGCGGUAUAAGCAUGGCGUGAAAGCCCCAGGCUCAACCUGGGAGGGUCGUCGUGGACUGUACCGCUUGAGGGCGGUAGGGGCUGGUGGAAUGCCUGGUGUAGUGAUGAAAUGCGUAGAGAUCAGGCGGAACACCCGUGGCGAAGGCGGCCAGCUGGGCCGUCCCUGACGCUGAGGCGCGAAGGCGUGGGGAGCGAAAGGGAUUAGAUACCCCUGUAGUCA